rnacentral:rRNA from 1 species
CCUACGGGAGUCAGCAGUGGGGAAUCUUGCGCAAUGGGCGAAAGCCUGACGCAGCCAUGCCGCGUGUAUGAUGAAGGUCUUAGGAUUGUAAAAUACUUUCACCGGUGAAGAUAAUGACUGUAGCCGGAGAAGAAGCCCCGGCUAACUUCGUGCCAGCAGCCGCGGUAAUACGAAGGGGGCUAGCGUUGCUCGGAAUUACUGGGCGUAAAGGGAGCGUAGGCGGACAUUUAAGUCAGAGGUGAAAUCCCGGAGCUUAACUUCGGAACUGCCUUUGAUACUGGGUGUCUUGAGUGUGAGAGAGGUAUGUGGAACUCCGAGUGUAGAGGUGAAAUUCGUAGAUAUUCGGAAGAACACCAGUGGCGAAGGCGACAUACUGGCUCAUUACUGACGCUGAGGCUCGAAAGCGUGGGGAGCAAACAGGAUUAGAUACCCUGGUAGUCCACGCCGUAAACGAUGAUUGCUAGUUGUCGGGAAGCUUGCUUCUCGGUGACGCAGCUAACGCAUUAAGCAAUCCGCCUGGGGAGUACGGUCGCAAGNUUAAAACUCAAAGGAAUUGACGG